UGUGAACGACAGGGGAGCACCUUCGGGUGCUGAGAGUGCGCUCAGCGCAGACCCUCGAACCUGCUCCGGCUAGCACCGGCGAAGGAAGUCGAGUUCUCUGAUGG
rnacentral:ncRNA from 1 species